rnacentral:rRNA from 1 species
GACAGAGGGUGCAAACGUUGCUCGGAAUCACUGGGCGUAAAGGGCGUGUAGGCGGGAAGGAAAGUCAGAUGUGAAAUCCCCAGGCUCAACCUGGGAACUGCAUUUGAAACUCCCUUUCUUGAGUACCGGAGAGGAAAGUGGAAUUCCUGGUGUAGAGGUGAAAUGCGCAGAUAUCAGGAGGAACACCGGUGGCGAAGGCGGGUCUCUGGGCCGAUACUGACGCUGAGGAGCGAAAGCGUGGGGAGCAAACAGG